rnacentral:snoRNA from 1 species
GGCGCGCCAUGAACGAGGCGACGUCGCCGGGCGGACAGGGCCCGGUCUCCGGGGCCGCCUGAGGUUGCCGACAACGGCGGGCAAUGAGGGCGGGUGGAUAAGCCGGGCCUAUACCACUUCAAUUCUAACCUU